GACGAACGCUGGCGGCGUGCUUAACACAUGCAAGUCGAACGGAAAGGCCCUGCUUUUGUGGGGUGCUCGAGUGGCGAACGGGUGAGUAACACGUGAGUAACCUGCCCUUGACUUUGGGAUAACUUCAGGAAACUGGGGCUAAUACCGGAUAGGAGCUCCUGCUGCAUGGUGGGGGUUGGAAAGUUUCGGCGGUUGGGGAUGGACUCGCGGCUUAUCAGCUUGUUGGUGGGGUAGUGGCUUACCAAGGCUUUGACGGGUAGCCGGCCUGAGAGGGUGACCGGCCACAUUGGGACUGAGUUACGGCCCAGCCUCCUACGGGAGGCAGCAGUGGGGAUUAUGGAAAAAUGGGCGGAAGCCUAAUGCAGCACCGCCGCGUGCGGGAUGACGGCCUUCGGUUUGUAAACCGCUUUCGCCUGUGACGAAGCGUGAGUGACGGUAAUGGGUAAAGAAGCACCGGCUAACUACGUG
rnacentral:rRNA from 1 species